rnacentral:tmRNA from 1 species
GGGGUUGACUGGAUUUGACAGCAGGAUGAGAUGGUAUGUAAGCACGCGGAGCGUAGGUUGCUGGCUCCUUAAUCCCAGUGGUCAAAAAAUUAAUUGGCGAAAAUAAUUACGCUCUCGCUGCCUAAUCGAAGUACAGUAGAUUACUGGCUUUAUCCCGUCACCAGGUGAUGGGACGAGACACCGCUCCAAGGAUGUUGUUCCGAAUCUGAGGAUCAAGUGGUGCAGGUAAAUCGGAAAUAGCCCUCGUAAGCCUCGAUGCGUCGGCGAAAAUUAGAGGCUAAGGUGUCGGUUGGUGGUCCAGGUCUUGCUGACACACGAAAACCAAAGGCUGGAAUAAGCGUGUAGAAAGCGUAUGGUUUCCCUGUUUGGACGCGGGUUCGACUCCCGCCAGCUCCAC